AGUGAACGCUGGCGGCAGGCCUAACACAUGCAAGUCGAACGGCAGCACAGGGGUAGCAAUACCCUGGGUGGCGAGUGGCGGACGGGUGAGGAAUACGUCGGAAUCUGCCUAUUUGUGGGGGAUAACGUAGGGAAACUUACGCUAAUACCGCAUACGCCCUACGGGGGAAAGCGGAGGACCUUCGGCGUUCGUCGCAGAUAGAUGAGCCGACGUCGGA
rnacentral:rRNA from 1 species